CUGGCUCAGGAUGAACGCUAGCUACAGGCUUAACACAUGCAAGUCGAGGGGCAGCAUUGGGAUAGCUUGCUAUUCAGAUGGCGACCGGCGCACGGGUGAGUAACGCGUAUCCAACCUUCCUGCCAGUAGGGAACAGCCCGGCGAAAGUCGGAUUAAUGCCCUAUGUUCUUCAAUGCGGACAUCUAAGUUGAAGGAAAGAUUCAUCGCUGGCAGAUGGGGAUGCGUCCGAUUAGCUUGCCGGCGGGUAACGGCCCACCGGGGCGACGAUCGGUAGGGGUUCUGAGAGGAAGGUCCCCCACACUGGUACUGAGACACGGACCAGACUCCUACGGGAGGCAGCAGUGAGGAAUAUUGGUCAAUGGGCGUAAGCCUGAACCAGCCAAGUAGCGUGCAGGAAUGACGGCCCUACGGGUUGUAAACUGCUUUUAUGCGGGGAUAAAGUGCGGCACGUGUGCCGCUUUGCAGGUACCGCAUGAAUAAGGACCGGCUAAUUCCGUGCCAGCAGCAGC
rnacentral:rRNA from 1 species